GGCAGUGGUAGCUCAGUGGUCAAGGCAUUGGCCUACUGGUUAGAAGGUCAUGAGUUCAAAUCCCAGCACUGCUA